AUGAACGCUAGCUACAGGCUUAACACAUGCAAGUCGAGGGGCAGCAUGAACUUAGCUUGCUAAGUUUGAUGGCGACCGGCGCACGGGUGAGUAACACGUAUCCAACCUGCCGAUGACUCGGGGAUAGCCUUUCGAAAGAAAGAUUAAUACCCGAUGGCAUAGUUCUUCCGCAUGGUAGAACUAUUAAAGAAUUUCGGUCAUCGAUGGGGAUGCGUUCCAUUAGGUUGUUGGCGGGGUAACGGCCCACCAAGCCUUCGAUGGAUAGGGGUUCUGAGAGGAAGGUCCCCCACAUUGGAACUGAGACACGGUCCAAACUCCUACGGGAGGCAGCAGUGAGGAAUAUUGGUCAAUGGACGAGAGUCUGAACCAGCCAAGUAGCGUGAAGGAUGACUGCCCUAUGGGUUGUAAACUUCUUUUAUACGGGAAUAAAGUGAGGCACGUGUGCCUUUUUGUAUGUACCGUAUGAAUAAGGAUCGGCUAACUCCGUGCCAGCAGCCGCGGUAAUACGGAGGAUCCGAGCGUUAUCCGGAUUUAUUGGGUUUAAAGGGAGCGUAGGCGGACGCUUAAGUCAGUUGUGAAAGUUUGCGGCUCAACCGUAAAAUUGCAGUUGAUACUGGGUGUCUUGAGUACAGUAGAGGCAGGCGGAAUUCGUGGUGUAGCGGUGAAAUGCUUAGAUAUCACGAAGAACUCCGAUUGCGAAGGCAGCUUGCUGGACUGUAACUGACGCUGAUGCUCGAAAGUGUGGGUAUCAAACAGGAUUAGAUACCCUGGUAGUCCACACAGUAAACGAUGAAUACUCGCUGUUUGCGAUAUACAGUAAGCGGCCAAGCGAAAGCGUUAAGUAUUCCACCUGGGGAGUACGCCGGCAACGGUGAAACUCAAAGGAAUUGACGGGGGCCCGCACAAGCGGUGGAGUAUGUGGUUUAAUUCGAAGCAACGCGAAGAACCUUACCAGGCCUUGACAUCCCUUGCAGAGGUAUAGAGAUAUAUCCGAGGUUAUCAAGGAGACAGGUGGUGCAUGGUUGUCGUCAGCUCGUGCCGUGAGGUGUCGGCUUAAGUGCCAUAACGAGCGCAACCCUUAUCGAUAGUUACCAUCAGGUUAUGCUGGGGACUCUGUCGAGACUGCCGUCGUAAGAUGUGAGGAAGGUGGGGAUGACGUCAAAUCAGCACGGCCCUUACGUCCGGGGCUACACACGUGUUACAAUGGGGGGUACAGAAGGCAGCUACACGGCGACGUGAUGCUAAUCCCGAAAGCCUCUCUCAGUUCGGAUUGGAGUCUGCAACCCGACUCCAUGAAGCUGGAUUCGCUAGUAAUCGCGCAUCAGCCACGGCGCGGUGAAUACGUUCCCGGGCCUUGUACACACCGCCCGUCAAGCCAUGAAAGCCGGGGGUACCUGAAGUGCGUAACCGCAAGGAGCGCCCUAGGGUAAAACUGGUGAUUGGGGCU
rnacentral:rRNA from 1 species